GGUCCGGAUGCGAGAAGCCGCUGCUGCCGCGUCCCGACGAGAACAUCUGCAGACGGAGCGCCUUCCAUGCGCCGACUACUAAAGGGGCGAGAUCGGGGAAGCGAGAGGAGAGAGAACGAGAGCUCCGGGUUUUGUUCCCGGCGGCUCCCGGAUUCAAAGAUGGCGCUGCGGCUGGCUUGUUUUGCAUCGGGCCGCGGGUCGUAGCGAGCGGCGGCGGCGGCGGCUUCACGGACGGCUCGGAAACGCGCGCUUGAGCGCGUGUCGGCGGCAUCUCUGGCGUCGUUCGAAAUCAGUGGGCUUCGUCGUCGCCACUGCCUCGCCGCGCAGCCGGAUACCGAGGUCUGUGUUCGUGGACCAUUGCAGCACUACGACUUCAAGGAUGAAGCACGAGAUGAAAACGUUAGCGAGCGAGACCGUGGACUACUCGACGCUACGGGCACGAACGGCGACUUCCGCGUCGUCGCCGAGCCAUGUACCAGCGGAAAGAUAUGCACGUGCACGGCCGGACAAGUAGAAUGCCUCUCCACCACGUGGACCACUCGUGAAACACUCCCUAUAGGUCUGGGUAUUAGCGUGCAGCGUUCGACAAGGCAAACCGUCUAUUCAUUAGUUGAAGAAAUGCUUUCGUUUCCAGGCACUAAAACGCUCGAACAAAUAUAAGCAUGCCAGACAAAAAGAAAGUGCACGGUGUCUAAUUCUCGUGCGCUGCAUUAGUUACGUUUGUCCAAGCUCUUUAGCGAGAUUUCUUCCACGCCUGCGGGGCUUCAUAUCAGCGAUAUAACUAAGACUUCUGCCGGGGAAGCAACUUGACAGUUUCAGCUCCCGUAACCAAGUCAGCAAGGUCCACUUGGUGCGCUGCCGUCACUCGGGGCAUGAAAAAGUCGCAUAUUAUUUAAGCACAAACCAGACUCGCCGGAAUAGUGCACAUGUAUCAAUCAUUGGAACGUUACGUCCCACGCUGGGUUUUUACGCUCUUCUUCCUAAAUUCUUAUGAGUGGCUAAGGCCCCAAAAUGGAAGGGAGUAAGAUACGCAUAGGCGUCCUUAUUUUGUCCGUAGCAAUGAGGAUGUAACGCUUCAUAGAAGCAAUCUCAGCUGCGGGCCCCUUUCAUAUUGUAAGCUUCAAGAAAGAGGGCUGCUUCGUGUGAUAAUAAUUUAAACAAUUAUGAGAACUAAAUAAAAUAACACUUUUCAUAAAAACGCGCUUAAGACGAGGACGAAAGGAACACAUACGACAGGACUGGCGCUUUCUCCCUCGCCUUUAGCGCGUUUUUAUGAAAAGUGUCGAGAUGAAACAACUCGCCCAAACCAAGGUAUUGUUAUAAUAAUAUGCAUUUAAUGAUCUUUUUUGUUGUUUGACAGCAGUUUGGAACAUUUACGGGCGAUGAACCGCUGGCGAUCGAGCGUUAAGUGGGGAGAAAUUUAAGGACAAAUUGCUAAAGGAGGAAAAAAAUCGAAACUUAUUCAAGGUGUGGAAGAUUCAUUAUUAUAGAGAUCACGCAGCAUUCCAUAAAGUUAGCAAUUCAUAUUUUCCGAAAAUAUUUUGACGCCGCCGCUCAGUAAUGCAAUGUUAUUAUGCCAAUGAGUAUAAAUACUAAAAAUAAAGACAGUAUUUGUAAGGAUUUCAGACAGAAAACAAGGUUCGUACUCAACUGUGUCAGAAGAAAGCUUUUUAUUCGCAAUCAAGAGGUGCUCAAAUAGUAUUUGAUGGUAUUUGUGUUACAGAUGCAGAUAUCGGCAAGAUAUCGGCAAGCGUAGGUGUUCAUUUGUUGAAUGGUAGAACUUAUUACUUUUGAUCGUACCUGACAAACUUGCAACCACUUUUUGUGCACAUGUUCGGGUUCGCAUCUUGGAUAUAUUUUUAAAUAUAUAUUGCUUAUAUAUACUUUAGCAAACACAGUAUUGUGCGAGUUUUCCAACAUCAGAGCUAGGCCUUUUUUUGCGUACACAUGACAACUUCAUCUGUUGUACGCAUGUAUUCUGUACUGCAAAGGCAAACAUAAUUUCUCACGAUGAGUAGUUGAAAAGUGCUGUUGUAGAUAGUGUCAGACUAGUGCAGGCCAUUUCUUCCGGUAUAUUCAUUGCAAGGGGCUAAAAUGUCGCUGGAAAUUUGUAACCAUCGAAACGCACUUCUCAUGUUCCCACAAAAACAUUGUGUUGCCGUUCUAAGACAUUUCCAUUCGAGUAAAAAAUCAGGACAAAUAUUGACUUUCUCAUUUGGAAACGAAACUGAUCGACAUUUUCCCAAACAAUGCACUUACUCAGUGUUGAUCGUGGAUUUUAUGCAGCCAUAUAGUGUGGUGUCUAAGUUCUUACAAGUCUUGAACAAGCUAUAUAUUUCAGAUCCCUUAGAAACAUCAUUUUGAAUCUGUGGAAAGGCCGAUGCUAGAUCGUAAGUAGCAAAAGCUUAAAAUUGAUUCCCUAGUCAAUGCAUUGCGCACAACUUAGUAUUGCUGUGUAGAUACAAUUAACUUCCAUCUUUUUCCACCUCUCAUAAUCGAAGUCGUCACCUUCUACUGCUUUUACACUCAUUGUAACGUUUUUGUACCUUCUGUGGUUGUAUGCUUCCGUUGCGAACAGACGUUGCACAGUGCAUGCAUGCUGCUAAAUGUCUCAUGGUGCACAAAUGUUGUACAAGCUGCAUCUUUUUGCAGCCAACUGUUUCAACCUGCAGCUUACUUUUCUUGUACUAUAUUGUAUGCUACAGUUAUUGACUGGUCAUGUUCUCUCUGUAAAGUGUGCGAUUAGAAGACUGUUUGGCUCAUCAGAUGUGUAUGUGGCAGUCGUGUAAGAUGAAUGAAAUAAUGUAUGCUUAGUGUAUGCAUGCAGGAACGACUCAAAGAAACGGCAGACUGAGUCUGCCGUUUCUGACUCAUGCAUAUUGUAGCUGGGUGGUUUCAGAACGCAGUCGUAACGUUGAUGUUCCCAUCAGAGAAAAGCUUAAUGACGUUCAAAUGUUCUUUAGGACUAUUUUACGCUUGAAGAUGUUUAGUGCACUGCCGGCCGGCUGAAGAGAUGACGAACAAAGUCGAUAGCUGAAAUAUUUUUUUUCGAAAUCUAUGUGUGUGUAUCACUGUUGUGCUCAUAAAACUAGCCUAUUAGGCGUAUUAGCACGAAGACUGUAAGUAGUGUAAACCGCCCGUCUACAUUCUGUAGCGUGCUGAGGACAUCUGACAAAGCUCAUGCGCUGUGAAAUACUUGCACCACUCGAAAUGUGUCGUAACUGGUGUUGUGCAACGUGGUCUCGUCCGUUCUCUGUAGUGAGCUCGUGUGGCUUCAUCAUGUCUUCUUCGUGUGCUCCGCCACUCUAAACCGAACACAAGUUAAGCGCAUCUCAGGAAACUGUAUACCCAAGGCGCACGGCGCAUUCUGGGUUGUGCACGGUACACCCUGUUGCGCCUGCACUCCGCCUGUCAUCCCUUGCCCCCUUCGACGCAUUCAGCCUUCAUUUCUGGUGCUUCUAAGUUGUCUAGAAAUCAUUGCAAGGUUACCACAGAGAUUAAUAGAACAGAUAGUUAUAUAAUAGAAAAUUGUCAUGCCUCCGAAGCUUUACCAUAAUGCGGCAGAAUAAACCUUAUAAGGGUUUGCAAGAAAUCAAGGCCGGUCGAAGACUCUCAGAAUAUGUACGACAUUAUAUCACGUGCUCGAUUCGCGAGGGUCGCUGGAGCAGGAUGGCCACGUCGAUAAGUUUGUGGCUGCUAUGAUCGAAGAUUGACUACCUACUCUAACCCCUUAAGCCGGCGUCCUUGCAUCGCGAGAGCUAUAGGUGUUUUGAUCGGCCCAACUUGGCGCCUCACGAAGCAGCGACAAAGCAACGCGUGCUAGAAGUCGUCAGCUAGGAUGACCCCGUCCCGUUCCCAACGCGCCAAAGCUGUGAAUGUGAUAAAAAAUAACAGCGGACUGACGCGAACAUAAGUCUGCUAACCCCACGCGCUGAUUUGCGUCACGGAUUCGCGUCACUUCGUCUCCACUUUCCUGUGACCAUUGCUCUUGCUUACGGCUGAAUGAUGUUUUAUGUCGGCUUCUUGUGUACACCCCCAUACGAAUUUGUCGUGCUUGCAAGCGCAAAUACGUCCCUCUCUUGUGUUUUUUUCAGCAUGCGUUGUCCUUCGUACGUUCGAGUCCUUCGGCCAACUUUUACCAACGGGACAUUGUACAUGUAUUAGAAACUUCCCAAACACUCAAAGUGACAUACACGACAAAAUACAUCCGUAAUGAGUUUGCUUUUUCGGUGUUUAAUGUGUGUCUCAGAUGUCGAAAGAAUUUAUGUGCUGGGCAAACUGUCUUCUGGGAGUCAACUGCAUGCUGACAUGUGUAUUUCCUACAAAUGUUAUACCAUUUAGCAAGAAUUUCUUCUGACAGAGAAUCAUAGUAUACAUAUACUAGCCUAUGCAGCGACACAUCGUUGCUCGCACUUGAUACAAACGUGUAAACCAUGACGCAUAUUUAUGUUAUACUCGCUGUAUUGCCACCAUGUCUAAAAUGUAAGGACGAUUGUUUUACCAGUUUGAUUAUUAGAAGUUCGGCUUCCCUUUCCAUGUCUUACGGAAACAUGCGACGCACACGGCUCUUAUUUGCGAGGUGCUCAACUUAGUGCUAAUCCGUACCUUGCCGAGCGUCGUCAUCCAUGUGCUCUUUUGAAUGUCUUGCGAAUUAAAAAAAGAAUACGGCUGC